rnacentral:rRNA from 1 species
CAAAUAUAGAGUUUGGUGAUGGCUCUGAAUGAAUGCUGUCCAAGCGCUUGACACAUGCUAAUCGUACGUUUCAAUUAGUGCGCAAGCUAUUAAUUGAAAAGUGGUGUACAGGUGAGUAAUAUGAUACUUACGCCUACCUUAAAGUAAAAUUAGAUUUUUUAUAUAAAGAAAGGGAAAAAUUCCCGCUUUAAGAGGACAACAAGUGUCGACAAGAGAGGUAGUAGUUGAAGUGAUGGUUUAACUAGCCUGUAUCUCUUGUAACCGUAUUUGAAAAAAUGAUCGGUCACAUUGGGUCUGAAAAAAGCCCAAUGCAUAUUAGUACAGCAGUGGGGAAUAUUGGUCAAUGGCCUAAGGGCUGAACUGGUGACUUGGAAAAGUGAUAAGUUCUAGUUUGAUAAUCAAAAAAAUUAUCUAGAGAAUUGUAUUUUAUAAAGAAUAAAGCUUUGUUUGUAUAUUUAUAAUGACAAUAUAUGUAUUUAGUCUUGACCAAUUACGUGCCAGCAGUCGCGGUAAUACGUAAGAGACAAGUGUUAUUCAUCUUAAUUAGGUUUAAAGGGUACUUAGACGGUCUAAGUAAAAAAAUAAAUACUAGACUAGAGUUGUAUAAAAGAGAAUAGUACUUGAGGAGGAGGGAUUAUAUCCAUUUAUACCAAAGGGACUCGGUAAAUGCGAAGGCAACUCUCUAGGUAACAACUGACGUUAAAGGACGAAGGCACAGAGAACAAAAAGGAUUAGAUACCCAAGUAGUCUUUGCAGUAAAUGAUGAACGUCAUAGGUUAGAAAGACAUUAGUAUUUUCACUUUAAUAGUAAAAAGUGAAAAUAUUAACGCAAUUUAGUCUAUAAAUGAAAGUGUAAGCGUUUCACCUCAAGAGUAAUGUGGCAACGCAGGAACUGAAAUCACUAGACCGUUUCUAACACCAGUAGUGAAGUAUGUUGUUUAAUUCGAUGACCCACGAAAAACCUUACCAUAACUUGAAUAUUUUACAGGAGUUGCACGGCUGUUUUCAGUUAAUGUUGUGAAACUGUGGUUUCCACGUAAUUAACAUAAUCCCUUACUUUAUUUUUUAUUUAUUACUAUAAAGUAUUAUUCCUAAAAAUCAGGAAAAAUAAAGGGGACAAAGACAAGUCAUCAUGGCCUUGAUGUUAUGGGCUAUAGACGUGCCACAUGUGCCUAAACAAAGAGAUGCAAAAACGUGAGUUUAAGCUAAUCUCUCAAAAUAGGAUAUAAAUAUUAAGGAUUGUAGUCUGAAAUUCGACUAUAUGAAUAGGUAAUUACUAGUAAUCGUGAAUCACCAUGUCACGGUGAAUAUAACUUUGGAUUGGUACUAACUACUCGUCGCAUGCUGAAAGGAAAUCAUGUAGUAAGUUUGCUAUAUUUAAUAAUAAGCAAAAAAAUAAUAUGAUUUAUACUUAUAUUAAUAUUCUUCGUAUAUGUGUUUCUGAUUAGUGUUAAGUCGAAAUACGGUUCGUGUAGUGGAAGUUGCACGGGGAUUAUUAAUUUU